CCUACGGGUGGCAACAGUGAGGAAUAUUGGUCAAUGGGCGAGAGCCUGAACCAGCCAAGUCGCGUGAGGGAAGAAGGUCCUUCGUAUUGUAAACCUCUUUUACCAGGGAACAAAGUCUGCCACGUGUGGCCUUACGAGUGUACCUGGAGAACAAGCAUCGGCUAACUCCGUGCCAGCAGCCGCGGUAAUCCGGAGGAUGCGAGCGUUAUCCGGAUUUGUUGGGUUUAAAGGGUGCGCAGGCGGCGUGUCAAGUCAGCGGUAAAAGGUCGGGGCUCAACCCCGGCCUGCAGUUGAAACUGGCGGGCUCGAGUGGGAGAGAAGUAGGCGGGAUUCGUGGUGUAGCGGUGAAAUGCAUAGAUAUCACGAAGAACCCCGAUUGCGAAGGCAGCAUACUGGAUCCAAACUGACGCUGAGGCACGAAAGCGUGGGUAUCGAACAGGAUUAGAUACCCCUGUAGUC
rnacentral:rRNA from 1 species